UUUGAAUGAAUGAAAACAGAGCCACACGAGAUAUCAUGCAUACUGUGUAAAUUAUGUAUAAACCUAUACAUACAUGCAUACAUACAUACACACACACACACACACAAACUGUAUUUCAAUAAGUCCUGUGGCAUGCUUUCCAGAAUAUUUUAUAUAUCAUUGCUAUUUUGUUUGUUUAUGUAUGUGUGAAGGUGUCAUGAGGACUUAGGUUUGCUUUUUAAUAGGUCCUAAUAGAUGGCUUUUCAAAAAUAUAGGGUUGUAGCAGAAUCAUGAAUAAAAGAAGACAGAAAUAUUAAGUCAUGACUCCAAUAUUGUUCUUCAACUCUAGCUGCUAAUGUAAUUCACAGAGCACGAUUUCCUACCUUCUAACGAUAACAGAUUACAUUUGGCCAGCAUCUUUCAUCACAAUGAGCCCCCGAGUGCUUUAUAAACUGAUUUGUGAACCAUAAAUAAUCACCCACUCAUGAAAUGUGGCAAGAUAUCGUUGACUUGGGUUGUCUUCCUACAGUGUGAACUACAGGGCACGGUAACCACACCAGGCAAAACAUAUUAGCGUAUAUGGCAUGGAACCUCAACAUCAAAGAUAACUAUCAGAAAUAAAUAUAACUGUAAAAAGGCUGAGUGAAGUGCCAUUGCUUAUAUGGAGAUAGUGGUCUCGAAUCUUUACUGGGAAAGUGAGUGACCUAGAGUGUAGGGGCUUUGGACUUAAAAAAACUUGAAUAUCAAGUUUGCCUCAAUGAUGAGGCUAUUAUUUCAAUCAUGUCUGAAGGCUGGGUGGGUAUAGGGAUGGAUGACAGCAAGCAAUUGCAUAUGAAUCUCCUGCCUUGGGGCCUGCCUUAUCAUUAAACGGAGCCAAAUAACAUAUUUUGGCUGCCAAAAAGAGCAGCAAAUUGUGGUUCAAAUCAUUAUUGUUUAGCUUUCCUGCCAGCUAGAGGAAUCAAGGCUUUGUUCAUUUUUGUUUUCAGUCUCAGGUGCCCAAAUACCUCGGCUGGCUUUAUGCAGUGGUUUGUACCUAAAUUGCUGGGGGGGGGGGGGGGGGAGUUGCAAUACUUUAUAGGGCAGCAAAGUGUCUUGUGGCAACCUUGUCCUGCCUCCUAUGAACAUAUGCUUGAAACUACAUCUGUGCAGUGGUUUGUAUCCAUUUAGUCAGUUUGAUAUAUGCCCUGCAGCAGGGCCGGCCGGAGAUAAUUUAAAAUAUUAAGCGGGGGUGGAGAAAAGCACCCCCGCCGGCGCCGCGCAGGGGGUGGGGAAAAGCGCCCCCCCCGCAGGGGCGGGGGAAGCCUGACGGUGCCCCCUGGGGACCUGCGCCCGAGGCGGCCGCCUCACGUGGCCUCUAUGGUGGGGCCAGCCCUGCCCUGCAGAUACAAACACAGGUACAUACGGUAGCAAUCUGGUCGCAAGGUCCCUGUUUAGCAUUGUUGUCAUUUGCCUUCAAGUCAUUUCCUAUUUAUGGUGAUUCUGUCAUGGGGUUUCUUGUCACAAUUUGUUCAGAGGGGAAAAUUGGAAUCCCUGUGGCCAAGCAACCUAAGAAAGGAAAUUAAGAUGCCAAGAAUGUUUAAUUACAUAGAACACACAAACUAUGAGAGGAUACAGUAGGAAAAAUUGGCCCUCUCUUCCUCUCUACUGAGUAAAUUUAACAGGAACUACAGUAGAGUCUCACUUAUCCAACAUAAAUGGGCCAGCAGAACGUUGGAUAAGCAAAUAUGUUGGAUAAUAAGGAGGGAUUAAGGAAAAGCCUAUUACACAUCAAAUAAAGUUAUGAUUUUACAAAUUAAGCACUAAAAUUACAACUUUUACAACGGAAAUUACAACUAGUACAGUGUUCGGCAGCCAGGCUUCUAGCCGGAGCGAAUUACAGGGCGCGUUCAACGCCUCUGUUUAAGGAGCUCCACUGGCUGCCAUUUACUUUCCGGGCCCAAUUCAAGGUGCAGGUUAUCACCUACAAAGCCCUAAACGGUUUGGGACCCACCUACUAACGGU
ensembl:lncRNA